UAAGAGGUGUUUUAACUUUGAUCGCUCUU
rnacentral:piRNA from 1 species